UGCGUGCGGCUGCUAUACAUGCAGUCGAACGAACUUCCGUUAAUUGAUUAUGAGGUGCUUGCACUGAAUGAGAUUUUAACACGAAGUGAGUGGCGGACGGGUGAGUAACACGUGGGUAACCUGCCCAGAAGCAGGGGAUAACACCUGGAAACAGAUGCUAAUACCGUAUAACAGAGAAAACCGCCUGGUUUUCUUUUAAAAGAUGGCUCUGCUAUCACUUCUGGAUGGACCCGCGGCGCAUUAGCUAGUUGGUGAGGUAACGGCUCACCAAGGCGAUGAUGCGUAGCCGACCUGAGAGGGUAAUCGGCCACAUUGGGACUGAGACACGGCCCAGACUCCUACGGGAGGCAGCAGUAGGGAAUCUUCCACAAUGGACGCAAGUCUGAUGGAGCAACGCCGCGUGAGUGAAGAAGGGUUUCGGCUCGUAAAGCUCUGUUGUUAAAGAAGAACGUGGGUGAGAGUAACUGUUCACCCAGUGACGGUAUUUAACCAGAAAGCCACGGCUAACUACGUGCCAGCAGCCGCGGUAAUACGUAGGUGGCAAGCGUUAUCCGGAUUUAUUGGGCGUAAAGCGAGCGCAGGCGGUCUUUUAAGUCUAAUGUGAAAGCCUUCGGCUCAACCGAAGAAGUGCAUUGGAAACUGGGAGACUUGAGUGCACAACAGGACAAGGGAACUCCCUGUGGGAACGGUGAGGUGCUCACAUACAUGUGAAUAACACCCUUGGUGAAAGGCAGCAUGUCUGGGUCUACU
rnacentral:rRNA from 1 species